rnacentral:rRNA from 1 species
GACGAACGCUGGCGGCGUGCUUAACACAUGCAAGUCGAACGGAAAGGCCCUGCUUUUGUGGGGUGCUCGAGUGGCGAAAGGGUGAGUAACAAGUGAGUACCCUGCCCUUGAAUUUGGGAUAACUUCAGGAAACUCGGGCUAAUACCGGAUAGGAGCUCCUGCUGCAUGGUGGGGGUUGGAAAGUUUCGGCGGUUGGGGAUGGACUCGCGGCUCAUCAGCUAGUGGGUGGGGUAGUGGCUUACCACGGGAUUGACGGGUAGCCGACCUGAGAGGGUGACCAGCGUCGUUAGGACUGAGAUACGGCCCAGCCUCCUACGCGAGGCAGCAGUGGGGAAUGUUACACAAUGGGCGGAAGCCUGAUGCAACAACGCCGCGUGCGGGAUGACGGCCUUCGGGUUGUAAACCGCUUUCGCCUGUGACGGAGCGUGAGUGACGGUAAUAGGUAAAGAAGCAACGGCUAACUACGUG